UCCUGACUGACCGAUAGUGAACCAGUACCGUGAGGGAAAGGCGAAAAGAACCCCGGCGAGGGGAGUGAAAAAGAACCUGAAACCGUGUACGUACAAGCAGUGGGAGCACGCUUAGGCGUGUGACUGCGUACCUUUUGUAUAAUGGGUCAGCGACUUAUAUUCUGUAGCAAGGUUAACCGAAUAGGGGAGCCGAAGGGAAACCGAGUCUUAACUGGGCGUUAAGUUGCAGGGUAUAGACCCGAAACCCGGUGAUCUAGCCAUGGGCAGGUUGAAGGUUGGGUAACACUAACUGGAGGACCGAACCGACUAAUGUUGAAAAAUUAGCGGAUGACUUGUGGCUGGGGGUGAAAGGCCAAUCAAACCGGGAGAUAGCUGGUUCUCCCCGAAAGCUAUUUAGGUAGCGCCUCGUGAAUUCAUCUCCGGGGGUAGAGCACUGUUUCGGCAAGGGGGUCAUCCCGACUUACCAACCCGAUGCAAACUGCGAAUACCGGAGAAUGUUAUC
rnacentral:rRNA from 1 species